CCCUCAUUCCUGCGCCAGCCCCGCCCCCGCCCCGCGUCCUGAAGCGCUUCCCGCCGGCUGCAGGUCCAGACGCGGCCGCCCACCCGCCGCCAGGGGCCGCUCGCUAACCGCUAACCGUCCCAGCUCCCGACGCCCCCUCCUCGCUCUAAAUCCACCCACCUCCUUCUGCCUCAUCUCUUUGUUGACACGACCAUUUCCCAAACUAGACCAAGCACUCUUGGGGGCAAGGAGGGGCGGGCACACGCAAUCUUUCCCUGGGCAGAGCCUCGCAUAUAGUCAACAGUGAGUAAAUACAUGUUUACUGAAUGAACGACCUCCGCAGAGAGAAACGAAGACCACCCCCGAUGAGAACAAACCCCUGCUUGGCAUCCGGCCACCCACAGGCAGGUGUAACGUCCCGCACCGGCAGUGAACCCGGGAGCUCGUAAUAAUGUACCUGUAUCACCUGACCAGCUGUAGCCGAUGUCCCGGCAUCCGCUGACGCCGGGAGCCCCAUGGCGUGCGCCAGGCGUCUGCUGCUGCUGCUCUGCUUGCUGCCUGUGUCCUUGGCCUGGAGGCCCAAGACCGUGUUCCAUUUGCAUAAGGUGAACACGGGCUGGAGUUCCUAUUUUUAACCAAGUUUACACACAAGUACGUAAAACUCUGAGUACCCGCCGCGGGAAAAGUCGUUACGAGGGACCCACACCAACAACAGCUCUGGGGCCUCAGCAGUUUGCUGAGUUUGCAAAGGGGUGUUGCGACCCGAAGCUUGAGAACUUCCAUCAAAGGCCUCAGGAGCAGGGGGCCUCCAGCGGCCGGCCGGGCCAGGACCGGGGUGAGGGCCAGCCGCGGCUCCUGCCCGCCUGUGACCCGGCCCUGCCCUCCUGGGCCCGUAGAAGCUGUGAGAGUCCGUGGCAGCUCUUCCCCUCCCCGCUCCGCUGCUCCUCCUCUCGUCCUCUGUGCCUUGGUUUACCUUCCGUCCCUGUGGCUCACCACACAGACCAUGUUAGUCCUCUUCCCCUCCCUUUCCGCUGGCUCCCCCCGCCAUCAGCCCCACCAGGUCUGGGACAUUCGGGAACUUGGAAGGGAAGCAGAAAGGAGGGGAGGGUGUUCCUAAAUCAAGAAGCCCUACUGGGCGCUGGGUCUGCAGGGGAUGCCAGGCCCGUGAGGAUCGCCUGGAGGGCCCGAGCCACUGCUGUGUCCCCAGCAGCCUGGAGUCACAGACGCUCUGCACCACCCAGACCGGCUCCCUCCAGGGCCGGGCCCGGCAGAAGGCAUCCGAGCGGGCUGGCCGGCACCAGGAGGAGGAGGGUCCCGCUGCCGCCCAGAGCUGGCCGCCGAGGGGGCAGGGGGCCGGCGGAGAGAACGGGGUCUCCCCUCCGGCGGCCAGCAGCCGAACGGCCACGCCUGCUCCGAGCACUCCGAAUGCCAGAGCCGCUGCUGUGUGCUCAGCGUCUCCAGCUCCGAGCUGACCUGCAGAUCUAUGACCAUCUUCCUGCAGUGUCAGCCUUGGCGCAAGCCCAACGGGAGCCACUGCACCAAGGACGACGAGUGCCAGAGCAGGUGUUGCCUCGCUCCGACCGAGGUCAGCCACCGCCGCUGCGUCCCCCAGAGAGGGAUCCUGGUUCAGUGCCUGCUCUUGUGACGGGGAAACUCAUCCUCGUGGAAGAACCAGUCCGGACCCGGGAGAAGCUCAGCCUGGAUCUCAUGCCUGCGUUUAGCUGGGAGCUCAGCUCGUGGUUCCCGCCGCUCGUUCUGGGCUGUGAAAACCUGCAGGUGUCAGACGCGCCCGU